rnacentral:rRNA from 1 species
CCUACGGGAGGCAGCAGUGGGGAAUAUUGGACAAUGGGGGCAACCCUGAUCCAGCCAUGCCGCGUGUGUGAAGAAGGCCCUCGGGUUGUAAAGCACUUUCAGUGAGGAAGAACGCCUGGUGGUUAAUACCCAUCAGGAAAGACAUCACUCACAGAAGAAGCACCGGCUAACUCCGUGCCAGCAGCCGCGGUAAUACGGAGGGUGCGAGCGUUAAUCGGAAUUACUGGGCGUAAAGCGCGCGUAGGUGGCUUGAUAAGCCGGUUGUGAAAGCCCCGGGCUCAACCUGGGAACGGCAUCCGGAACUGUCAAGCUAGAGUGCAGGAGAGGAAGGUAGAAUUCCCGGUGUAGGGGUGAAAUGCGUAGAGAUCGGGAGGAAUACCAGUGGCGAAGGCGGCCUUCUGGACUGACACUGACACUGAGGUGCGAAAGCGUGGGUAGCAAACAGGAUUAGAUACCCUAGUAGUC